AGAAAAGAUAAAAUAAAAUAAAAUAAAAUAAAAUAAAAUAAAAUAAAAUAAAAUAAAAUAAAAUAAAAUAAAAUAAAAUAAAAUAAAAUAAAAUAAAAUAAGGAAGUAGCUGGCAUGUUCCUAAUUCAUAAAGCGCUGCAGGAAUGUUCUGUUAGAGCUGUGUGGAAAGGACCAUGGGUGUUUUUUUAAGUAGAUAACACUUCUUUUAUCGGUCAGAGCUCUUCCUGAUGCCUUCAUGGUGAGUUGCCACCUCCAGGCAGAGGAAAUUCCACAUCAGAGUACUUAAUGGUGGUGUUAAACCUGUGAGACCUGCUGGCAAGGGACCUGCCUUGCUGCCUGCAACUCUUGUCACCACUGUCUCCAAAGGACAGCACCAGAAAGGAACAGAGGAAAUUCACGGGUACAGGACUAAAAAAAGCCCCAAACUAUUUUGCUUUCAGAUAAAGAAAAUAAAUACAGUGGUGACAUUUGUAAAGUAAGUAAUGAGUCAAACAAUUUUCUCAUUUUUUAUUUAGACGUAAUUUCUCUCUGUGAUAUCUCUAACAUUUGUCCUGUCAGGUAGAAAGACAAGAUAUCCUGAAAGAAUUUUCUGAUUUUGGUUGCUCCAUGUGGUAGGAUAAAUCUGCUUUGGAUCCAUAGGAAAUCCCCAAUUAUUUCAUAGUCUUCUUUGCAUCGUGCUAUCUUCAGUGCUUCAGAAAACACAUAUUCAUUGUAAUUCUUCUUCAUGGGUAUGGUUUGUCUUUGCUGUGGUUGCUUGAAAUGAACUAAUUCUGAGGCCUUUUUGGGAUGGGAAAAUAAUAUAUUUCUUCUUGUGUUUGAUCUCUGUAGCAAAACAGAUUAAAAAUAUUAAAACCUGAGAACUACAGGGACAUCCCUAUCUUCACUAUAUUAAUAAGAAUUGUUCUUGCUGUUAAAUUUCCCAUAAUCAAUUAAUGGAUUUCAUGACAGGGACUCUUUAUCUCCUCCCCAAAACAUAGAUCCCACUGCAAGAAAGUGAGUUAAGCUUCAGAUUUGACCUUAGAGAAAUGUUGCAGAGGAUUCUCCAAGAAGAAAAGUCCCAGCUAGAAAUAUAAGAUUCUUAGUUUCAACCCAAAUUGAACUAAUACAAAGGCUUUUUCAGAUUUUUGUUCAAGACUAUUUAGUCUACU
rnacentral:lncRNA from 1 species